GGGGCUGAUUCUGGAUUCGACGGGAUUUGCGAAACCCAAGGUGCAUGCCGAGGGCGGUUGGCCUCGUAAAAAGCCGCAAAAAAAUAGUCGCAAACGACGAAACCUACGCUUUAGCAGCUUAAUAACCUGCUUAGAGCCCUCUCUCCCUAGCCUCCGCUCUUAGGACGGGGAUCAAGAGAGGUCAAACCCAAAAGAGAUCGCGCGGAUGCCCUGCCUGGGGUUGAAGCGUUAAAACGAAUCAGGCUAGUCUGGUAGUGGCGUGUCCGUCCGCAGGUGCCAGGCGAAUGUAAAGACUGACUAAGCAUGUAGUACCGAGGAUGUAGGAAUUUCGGACGCGGGUUCAACUCCCGCCAGCUCCACCA
rnacentral:tmRNA from 1 species